rnacentral:rRNA from 1 species
CUACGGGUCGCAGCAGUGGGGAAUAUUGCACAAUGGGCGCAAGCCUGAUGCAGCCAUGCCGCGUGUAUGAAGAAGGCCUUCGGGUUGUAAAGUACUUUCAGCGGGGAGGAAGGGAGUAAAGUUAAUACCUUUGCUCAUUGACGUUACCCGCAGAAGAAGCACCGGCUAACUCCGUGCCAGCAGGCCGCGGUAAUACGGAGGGUGCAAUCGUUAAUCGGAAUUACUGGGCGUAAAGCGCACGCAGGCGGUUUGUUAAGUCAGAUGUGAAAUCCCCGGGCUCAACCUGGGAACUGCAUCUGAUACCGGCAAGCUUGAGUCUCGUAGAGGGGGGUAGAAUUCCAGGUGUAGCGGUGAAAUGCGUAGAGAUCUGGAGGAAUACCGGUGGCGAAGGCGGCCCCCUGGACGAAGACUGACGCUCAGGUGCGAAAGCGUGGGGAGCAAACAGGAUUAGAUACCCUUGUAGUC